rnacentral:rRNA from 1 species
GUUGGGUUAAGUCCCGCAACGAGCGCAACCCUCGUCCCAUGUUGCCAGCGGGUUAUGCCGGGGACUCAUGGGAGACUGCCGGGGUCAACUCGGAGGAAGGUGGGGAUGACGUCAAAUCAUCAUGCCCCUUAUGUCUUGGGCUUCACGCAUGCUACAAUGGCCGGUACAAAGGGCUGCGAUACCGUAAGGUGGAGCGAAUCCCAAAAAGCCGGUCUCAGUUCGGAUUGGGGUCUGCAACUCGACCCCAUGAAGUCGGAGUCGCUAGUAAUCGCAGAUCAGCAACGCUGCGGUGAAUACGUUCCCGGGCCUUGUACACACCGCCCGUCAAGUCACGAAAGUCGGUAACACCCGAAGCCCAUGGCCCAACCGUUCGCGGGGGGAGUGGUCGAAGGUGGGACUGGCGAUUGGGACUAAGUCGUAACAAGGUAGCCGUACCGGAAGGUGCGGCUGGAUCACCUCCUUUCUGCGGCCGCUUAUA